rnacentral:rRNA from 1 species
GUCUACAGCCAUGCUACCCUGAACAAGCCCAAUCCCAUUUGAUCUUGGAAGCUAAGCAGGGUCGGGCCUGGUUAGUACUUGGAUAGGAGACCAUCUAGGAAAAACAGGUGCUAUAGGCA